CACGUAGGGUGCGAGCGUUGUCCGGAAUUAUUGGGCGUAAAGAGCUCGUAGGCGGUGUGUCACGUCGGCCGUGAAAACCUGCAGCUUAACUGUGGGCGUGCGGUCGAUACGGGCAUCACUGGAGUUCGGCAGGGGAGACUGGAAUUCCUGGUGUAGCGGUGAAAUGCGCAGAUAUCAGGAGGAACACCGGUGGCGAAGGCGGGUCUCUGGGCCGAUACUGACGCUGAGGCGCGAAAGCCAGGGGAGCGAACGGG
rnacentral:rRNA from 1 species